AGUCAGGCAGUAUAUUAGAGGUAUGGGGAGUAGGGUCAUGUGGUAGGGCCGAAGAGCAGUCAGGGAGUAUAUUAGAGGUAUGGGGAGUAGGGUCAUGGAGUAGGGCUGAAGAGCAGUCAGGGAGUAUAUUAGAGGUAUGGGGAGUAGGGCCAGGUGGUAGGGCUGAAGAGCAGUCAGGGAGUAUAUUAGAGGUAUGGGGAGUAGGGUCAUGGGGUAGGGUCGAAGAGCAGGCAGGGAGUAUAUUAGAGGUAUGGGGAGUAGGGUCAUGGGGUAGGGUAAAAAAGCAGGCAGGGAGUAUAUUAGAGGUAUGGGGAGUAGGG